UGGUUACUGUAGAAGUCCUGCUGCUGAAGAAGCUCGAUCAUUGACGAAGUUCGGAGGAAGUUAGGAGUAAAGUCGAUCAUGGCUGGGAGAAGUUUGGAAGAGAUUCGGAGAAUAGUCGACCACUAUAGAGAAUCGGCUGAAAGUGAAGUUCAGUGAGCAUUUGGAGCAGUCCGAUAGAUGAAUGGAGAAGCUCAUGAUUGGAGAAGUCCGGAUGGUAUUAUGGAAGCUCGGAUGGUCGAGGGAGUUCGGAAAGAUGCCACACAAGGUCGGAAGCCGGAAGUGCCCUGGAAGGGUCGGCCUUUUACGAACUUCGGCUGGGGUUAUUUUAUACCCAAC
rnacentral:lncRNA from 1 species